rnacentral:rRNA from 1 species
AAAUUGAAGAGUUUGAUCAUGGCUCAGAUUGAACGCUGGCGGCAGGCCUAACACAUGCAAGUCGAACGGUAGCACAGAGAGCUUGCUCUCGGGUGACGAGUGGCGGACGGGUGAGUAAUGUCUGGGAAACUGCCCGAUGGAGGGGGAUAACUACUGGAAACGGUAGCUAAUACCGCAUAACGUCGCAAGACCAAAGUGGGGGACCUUCGGGCCUCACACCAUCGGAUGUGCCCAGAUGGGAUUAGCUAGUAGGUGGGGUAACGGCUCACCUAGGCGACGAUCCCUAGCUGGUCUGAGAGGAUGACCAGCCACACUGGAACUGAGACACGGUCCAGACUCCUACGGGAGGCAGCAGUGGGGAAUAUUGCACAAUGGGCGCAAGCCUGAUGCAGCCAUGCCGCGUGUAUGAAGAAGGCCUUCGGGUUGUAAAGUACUUUCAGCGAGGAGGAAGGCGUUGUGGUUAAUAACCACAGCGAUUGACGUUACUCGCAGAAGAAGCACCGGCUAACUCCGUGCCAGCAGCCGCGGUAAUACGGAGGGUGCAAGCGUUAAUCGGAAUUACUGGGCGUAAAGCGCACGCAGGCGGUUUGUUAAGUCAGAUGUGAAAUCCCCGGGCUCAACCUGGGAACUGCAUUUGAAACUGGCAAGCUUGAGUCUCGUAGAGGGGGGUAGAAUUCCAGGUGUAGCGGUGAAAUGCGUAGAGAUCUGGAGGAAUACCGGUGGCGAAGGCGGCCCCCUGGACAAAGACUGACGCUCAGGUGCGAAAGCGUGGGGAGCAAACAGGAUUAGAUACCCUGGUAGUCCACGCCGUAAACGAUGUCUACUUGGAGGUUGUGCCCUUGAGGCGUGGCUUCCGGAGCUAACGCGUUAAGUAGACCGCCUGGGGAGUACGGCCGCAAGGUUAAAACUCAAAUGAAUUGACGGGGGCCCGCACAAGCGGUGGAGCAUGUGGUUUAAUUCGAUGCAACGCGAAGAACCUUACCUGGUCUUGACAUCCACGGAAGUUUUCAGAGAUGAGAAUGUGCCUUCGGGAACCGUGAGACAGGUGCUGCAUGGCUGUCGUCAGCUCGUGUUGUGAAAUGUUGGGUUAAGUCCCGCAAC